rnacentral:tRNA from 1 species
CCUUCGAUAGCUCAGUUGGUAGAGCGGAGGACUGUAGGUUGAUAUCAGUUAUCCUUAGGUCGCUGGUUCAAUUCCGGCUCGAAGGA